CUUGGUUAGGGAGCGAUCGGGAUGGAGCAGAGGGCAGAGGUCAGCGUCGGCGGCGGCGUGGGGUUAGGUUGGGGCGGCGGCCGCUAGAGGAGCGGGGGGAUGCGGCGGCGGGGGUUGGAAGAUAAGGAGAGGGUUGCCUUAGGGUUCCCUUCCCUUCCGUUCCCUUCACUUCCCUUCCCUCUCUCUCGCGGAUCUAGGUGCCGCCGUAGUCGCGCGGCAGCAACUGGAUUAGACGCAGGCAGGAGCUCCCUCCAGCCGGUACCUCCAGGCUGGGCCGGGCCGUCGUCGGUACCUGCCUGCCUCUGCGGGGUUUGGGAUGGGAGUUGGAAGUUGGCCUAGAAGGUGGUGUGGUGUAGCCGGAGGGACUGAAGUGCGUCCUCGAGGUGACGAAGGUCUUGCAGUGGACGAAGGUCAACAGUAGAAAGGCUUCUGUUUCAUACCCAACUCAUUCGACAAACCACAACCUUAGUCGCUCCAACCAGUACAACCACCAUAAGAGAAUACACGUGCGGAGACUUGUGGGUAGUUCCCCCUUAC
rnacentral:rRNA from 1 species